rnacentral:rRNA from 1 species
UGCAGUCGACGAUGAACCACCUUCGGGUGGGGAUUAGUGGCGAACGGGUGAGUAACACGUGGGCAAUCUGCCCUGCACUCUGGGACAAGCCCUGGAAACGGGGUCUAAUACCGGAUACUGACCCUCGCGGGCAUCUGCGAGGUUCGAAAGCUCCGGCGGUGCAGGAUGAGCCCGCGGCCUAUCAGCUAGUUGGUGAGGUAAUGGCUCACCAAGGCGACGACGGGUAGCCGGCCUGAGAGGGCGACCGGCCACACUGGGACUGAGACACGGCCCAGACUCCUACGGGAGGCAGCAGUGGGGAAUAUUGCACAAUGGGCGAAAGCCUGAUGCAGCGACGCCGCGUGAGGGAUGACGGCCUUCGGGUUGUAAACCUCUUUCAGCAGGGAAGAAGCGAAAGUGACGGUACCUGCAGAAGAAGCGCCGGCUAACUACGUGCCAGCAGCCGCGGUAAUACGUAGGGCGCAAGCGUUGUCCGGAAUUAUUGGGCGUAAAGAGCUCGUAGGCGGCUUGUCACGUCGGUUGUGAAAGCCCGGGGCUUAACCCCGGGUCUGCAGUCGAUACGGGCAGGCUAGAGUUCGGUAGGGGAGAUCGGAAUUCCUGGUGUAGCGGUGAAAUGCGCAGAUAUCAGGAGGAACACCGGUGGCGAAGGCGGAUCUCUGGGCCGAUACUGACGCUGAGGAGCGAAAGCG